GCACUGGCGAGGAGUCCCACAAUAGGACGAAACGGCCGUCCAGUUC
rnacentral:hammerhead_ribozyme from 1 species